ACGCUGAAGGAGGAGCUUGCUCUUCUGGAUGAGUUGCGAACGGGUGAGUAACGCGUAGGUAACCUGCCUGGUAGCGGGGGAUAACUAUUGGAAACGAUAGCUAAUACCGCAUAAUAGUAGAUGUUGCAUGACAUUUGCUUAAAAGGUGCAAUUGCAUCACUACCAGAUGGACCUGCGUUGUAUUAGCUAGUUGGUGGGGUAACGGCUCACCAAGGCGACGAUACAUAGCCGACCUGAGAGGGUGAUCGGCCACACUGGGACUGAGACACGGCCCAGACUCCUACGGGAGGCAGCAGUAGGGAAUCUUCGGCAAUGGACGGAAGUCUGACCGAGCAACGCCGCGUGAGUGAAGAAGGUUUUCGGAUCGUAAAGCUCUGUUGUAAGAGAAGAACGAGUGUGAGAGUGGAAAGUUCACACUGUGACGGUAUCUUACCAGAAAGGGACGGCUAACUACGUGCCAGCAGCCGCGGUAAUACGUAGGUCCCGAGCGUUGUCCGGAUUUAUUGGGCGUAAAGCGAGCGCAGGCGGUUAGAUAAGUCUGAAGUUAAAGGCUGUGGCUUAACCAUAGUACGCUUUGGAAACUGUUUAACUUGAGUGCAAGAGGGGAGAGUGGAAUUCCAUGUGUAGCGGUGAAAUGCGUAGAUAUAUGGAGGAACACCGGUGGC
rnacentral:rRNA from 1 species